rnacentral:lncRNA from 1 species
ACUUCCCAAGAUAUUUAUUCCAACGUCAUGCUCAUACUCCUUUAAAGUCGAUCCUUCAAUUUAUCGUAUAAAAUAACCUGCUAAAACUCAUUGUUCAACCAUUUUUUUGACAUGGGAUUCGAAAUAAAUAUUUAUUAAAGAUUGUGGAGAUGGGCAUUACGCUACGUAACUUAUAAAUAAAGGCGAAGCAAUGAUGUAUUGUUAUUGAUAUAAGAAUUUAUGGAUUGAUGAAUAAAAUAAAUUGAAUAAGAA